rnacentral:rRNA from 1 species
AAACCAACAGGGANUGCCCUAGUAACGGCGAGUGAAGCGGCAACAGCUCAAAUUUGAAAUCUGGCCUCGGCCCGAGUUGUAAUUUGCAGAGGAUGUUUCUGGCGCGGUGCCUUCCGAGUUCCCNGGAACGGGACGCCACAGAGGGUGAGAGCCCCGUAUGGUCGGACACCAAGCCUGUGUGAAACUCCUUCNACGAGUCGAGUAGUUUGGGAAUGCUGCUCUAAAUGGGAGGUAAAUCUCUUCUAAAGCUAAAUACCGGCCAGAGACCGAUAGCGCACAAGUAGAGUGAUCGAAAGAUGAAAAGCACCUUGAAAAGGGGGUUAAAUAGUACGUGAAAUUGUUGAAAGGGAAGCACUUGUGACCAACUUGGGCCGGGCGGCUCAUCAGGGGUUCUCCCCUGUGCCUCCGCCCGGCACAGGCCAGCAUCUUCUCGUGGGGGGAAGACCGUCCGGAACUACCACCCUCCGGGGUGUGUUAUAGCCCGGCGGAAUACCCUCGUGGGGACCGAGGUUCGCGCUCCCCAGGAAUGCUGGG